AUGCAAUCUGGCUUCAUCAGGGGGAGAGCCAUCGUUGAAAACUUUGCGCUAGCUUCUGAGUUGGUACAAUGUGCGCAAAAGAGGAAGAUACCCAUGAUGAUACUCAAGUUGGAUUUCAAAAAGGCUUUUGAUAGUGUCAACUGGAACUGUCUCACGAACCUGAUGCAACACAGAGGUUUUGGCACUCGUUGGAUUUCUUGGGUCUCCUCCAUUCUCAAUUCUGGCAAGGCUAAGGUUAUGAUGAAUGGCUGCCUCGGAGAUGAUAUUUUCUUCAAUUGUGGAGUUCGCCAGGGUGACCCUCUCUCUCCGUAUCUCUUCAUUUUGGUUGCUGACAUCCUACAACGUAUG
rnacentral:rRNA from 1 species